ensembl:sense_intronic
AGACAAGGAAGAAGAGAUGACAAGAGGCAAGAACAGGUAUAGUGCUCAUCUGGUGUGGCAGUCAUGUGAGUGGCGCUCUCUACAUCUAUCUGUUUUGUUUUGUUUUCUAUGAUGGGGAUUGGACUUCAGGCUCACACUUGUUCACCAAGCACCCUGCCACUAUGAUACAUUUAUAGUCCCCUUUUGUGGUUUGGCUUCAAAGAUGGACUCUGGCUAAGUUGUUCAGACCAGCCUUGAAUUCACUCUGUGUGAAUUCAUACAGCCUUCAAAUAUGUGUUCUCUUGCCUCAGCCUCUAGGUAGCUGGAAUUAGAGGCUGUGCCCAGGCCCAGCGACAGGUUUAUUUUGCUAUGCUGUGCCUGCCUUGCUUCUCAUGCUGUUAGAUGACAUCAUCGAGCUGAAGGAGAGGAGUAAGUGCUUCUCAUGCUUUCUUCCUUUGGUAGAAUUAACAGGAACUUAAUUCUUUCCUUCUUUGUGAUUUCUUAGAUUAGUUCUUAUUGUAGAUUUUAGCAAUAGUAACAUAACGCACAAGCGCUUCCUUUUCCUUAACCUGACAGUGUUCAUCUCUUCACUGCUCCCUUUCCACGUAUCUGAAUUGUAGCAUACUGUGUGUGCUUUGGGACCAGUAUGAUGUCAGUAAGUCCCUGUGAGGCUACACCCAAUGAUAUGAGAGCUCAUGUGCCUGUCAAGAUGCACACUCAGCAUGGAAGUGCUGAUUGAUGGCUGAUGACAGGCAGGGAAAGGACAGUGCAUUGCUUACUGUGAUGGGCAUAUUAAAACAUUGCUUAUUUCUGGAAUUUUUCAUGUAUGCUUUUAGACCACAGUUGGUUCUAAGUAACUGAAGCUGUAAAAGUUAAAAUUGUGAUAAGAGGCAACUGAGAUACAGUUUUUAUCAAUUGCUCAAAGUCUAAUUGGCAAAAUGAUAAUAUAUAAAUAUACAUGUAUAUAUAUAUGCAUAUAUAUAUACAUGCAUAUGCAUAUAGCAGUCUUUUUAUUUGCAAGUUAGAUGAACAAGGAACACCUCUGGCAGUUAUUGUGCAAAUUACGUAGGACUGAUAGCAGAUGGUUGAAAUAAUAUAGUCAUCUAAACAAGACCUAAAUAAUGACAACACUGGAUGACAUACCAGCCUGAAUGGGAAAAAUCUCACAUUGCUUCAACCCCAGAUGAAGAGAUUCAGGAAAUUAUGAAUUCUAGAUACAGGAGGACACUGUUAGAAGACUGACGUCAGUGAGGUAGACUUCUAAGAUCUCAAAGCGUGCUUUACAUGCCAUCAUUUUUUUAAAGUCAAGCCUGGGGUUGCAAAUGUCCUAGUAUCGUUCACAAAACUGUCAGUGGCUCAGAUGUGGCAGGUAUCCCUGAGUGUUUCCUGCUGGCUUCUUCUCUGUCAUAGUCUACCUCCAACAUCAGCAGGAUUCACUCCUAAGAGUCCUAGGUGUUUCCAGGGUAGGCAUUCUUUCCCAUUCUGUAGUGUUGCUCCUUGACUUUACACAUCUCAGCAGUGGUCGGAAUCAUGCUUCUCCCCAGCUUCAGAAAGGAGGGUGGGUGCUAGUGGUAAAGCUCUCUCUUCCGUUGUGACUUGUAGAGACUCUUUGUUCAGGUACAGAUUAAAAUGCUUUCCUAUACAACCAGGCAAUCAUCUACUUCAAGAUGGGUCUCCUUCCUUAGCCUAGGAAUUAUCUGCCAUAUCUAAAGCCAUGAUUAGAUUACAGAUGUGGACAUCUGUAUGUCCUUUCUCUAAAAGAAGCAGCCCAGCAUUCCCCCCUGUCUAGUCCCAGGCUAGACCACCUGUGAAGUUGGGGGUUUUCUAUUUGUUUUUGUUUUGUUUCACGUAUUUUUGUAGCUGGAAAAAGUCAUGACCAGAAUGUCUAGGACUAUUUAUAUUAUAAACACAGGUAGUAGUAGGUAAGUUGAUAGAUUGAAGGAUGGGUAAAACAUCUUUGGUUUCUAGCCACCUGAAAAUCUAUAUGGCCUCUUCAUAGAAUACUGGUGCAAGUCUGAUAUUGAUUUUGUAUUUGCUUCUGUCAAAAUCAGCAUUAGAGUGAGUGCUAUGAUAAGCCAGAGAUCACACUAGGAAGUGAACAGAGAGCUUCAGAUAGGCUUAUAAAAGACAUGUAAUUGUUUCCAUAGGCUUUGUUUAAGGGACCCAGGCAAGGAGAGCUGAGAUUAUCUUAUCUGGAGAGCAUGAUAAAUAACAGAAAUUUGAGCCAAGCCUGGAGGUGCAAGUCUGCAAUCUUGACUGUUUAUCUGUCUGGGCAGGAAGGUCACAAGUUCAAGACUUGCCUGAGCUACAGAAUAAGUUCAAGGCUAGCCUGAAUAACUUAGUGAGACACUGUCCCAAAAUAAAAGCAAAAAGAGGGUAGGUGUAGAGAGCUUAUCUAGUGUACAUGGAGCCCUAGACUCAGUCUCAAUACCAACAAAAUAAUAAUAACAAUAAUACCAAAGACAUGAAGAAAGACAAAACUCAAAAAUAGCAGAAGUACUUAAUUUUUAUUUGUAUGUUCCUUAUUUGUUGAAUUGCCCGAUUUUAAAUGGCUGUUCAUCAGAGGAGCAGAAGGCCUGCUGCUGGAUAAUGUCUUCUAGACUCGACAGGGACGCUAUACCUGUGAUAUCUCAACAAUAUAGUCACCCAAAUAAGACCUACACAAUGACAUUACCAGAUGACAUACCAGCAUGAAUAGGAGAAGUCUUACAUGGCUUCAACCCAAGAUGAAGAGUUAUAGGCAAUUAAUUAAUAGCUGCUCAGGGAAGGGAAAUCGCUCUGCUUCAGGAGAAGCCCCUGAGAGUCAUUCAGCCCCAACUGGUCAGUCCUAAACACAUCUGUAGGACUUAGUAGGGAGGGUGCGUGUGCCUGUGUCUAUCUGUCUGCUUUGUCUGUGUCUGUGUGUCUGAGUCUGCAUUGUGUAACAGUUAUAGAAGAAGAGGCCCUAAAUUUAAAAGAGUUGGGGUGAACAUGGGAAGAGCUGGAGGUAGGGAGAAGGAACAAUAUAUUAAGUUGUGUCUCUUCCUAUAUAUGUAUACAUAUAGAAAGAUACACAGUGUAUUUAAGUACUUGUAAUACAGAAGUUCCAGGCAAUGCCAUCGUGCAUGCCCUUGAAGGGGAAAGAAGGGAGGACUGACAAGUGUUGAGUGGUAUUCUCCAAGUAUCCUAAUAGCUGGUAGAUACAUCAAAUUCCCAGGAUGCUCUGUAGGACAGGUAGUGAUAUUCCCAUUUCCAGAUGAAGAAAUUAGCUUUCAGGGUGGGGUAGUGUAAUGUCUGAGCACUUCCCCAGUAUAUGUGAGGUUCCACCAAAAAUGUAUAUUAAUAAUUAACAUAUAAUUAGUUAACAUAUAAUUAAUUAACUUAGUUAUUUAAUUAAUACUUAAACUAAUAAUAAUAAUAAUUGUAAAUUUU